AUUGAACGCUGGCGGCAUGCCUUACACAUGCAAGUCGAACGGUAACAGGUCUUCGGAUGCUGACGAGUGGCGAACGGGUGAGUAAUACAUCGGAACGUGCCUAGUAGUGGGGGAUAACUACUCGAAAGAGUGGCUAAUACCGCAUGAGAUCUACGGAUGAAAGCAGGGGAUCGCAAGACCUUGUGCUACUAAAGCGGCCGAUGGCCGAUUAGGUAGUUGGUGGGAUAAAAGCUUACCAAGCCGACGAUCGGUAGCUGGUCUGAGAGGACGAUCAGCCACACUGGGACUGAGACACGGCCCAGACUCCUACGGGAGGCAGCAGUGGGGAAUUUUGGACAAUGGGCGCAAGCCUGAUCCAGCAAUGCCGCGUGCAGGAUGAAGGCCUUCGGGUUGUAAACUGCUUUUGUACGGAACGAAAAGCCCCGGGUUAAUACCCUGGGGUCAUGACGGUACCGUAAGAAUAAGCACCGGCUAACUACGUGCCAGCAGCAGCCGCCG
rnacentral:rRNA from 1 species